AAUUCAGUAUCGCUUAAUCUCCAUGAAGUGGAGAGCGGGGGAACCAGAGUGUGAACGACAUGACAUGAGUACAUGUUCAUUCACACGGAUUAUUUCCUUGGGGUGAAUUAGGGACGACCGAGCCAUGAGCCGGUUGGUUCCGAUAGGGCGACUCUCAAGCCCGAACCCGACAGCUAACCUCGUCAGCGUACCGAGAGAGGGUUC
rnacentral:sRNA from 1 species